GUUCAAACUCUUGCAUGGAGAACAUUGUGGUUUACAUUCCCAAGGAAGCAUGUGUCAAAAACAUGCCUCUGCAGUCUCUGUCCAGCUCCACAGCUAGGAAGAUCAGUGUCGCUCUGUUUCCGCAUGGAUCAGAGAAACAGAUGCCACAGACAGUGACGUGGAUCUGUCCGGUUGAGCUGCGAGAAGAAGAAGUGGCUGUGUGCAAGGACCGCAGAGAACCGGUCCCGCUGAUCCAGAGGCCACUGGUCUCCAAAAUAACUCCGGGCCAGUUUUCACUGCCUGUUGUGAGUUCCAGCAUCACUGCCUUUAAGGUCUUAAGAACAAUUCUAAAAACACACAAGCCUAAAAUAAAAUUUUCAGGGCUGGAAAAUGAUGCUGCCUCUCUGCCCAGCAUCAGACAAUCUGUUCGGCAAAAUGCUAUUAUUGUGUAUAAUGGCCAGAUCUUCCUCUCAGUGAGGAAGGCACGUUGCAGGCGCGUGAGAUUUCAAAACUCUCCCUCAGCACCUUUAGGUGUGUGUCCUGUUUCUCCUAGUAAACAGAACCACAUAAAUACACCUAGCUGUCAGGCGCAACCGCUUCCGGACUCUUCACCCAGACCACAACAGAGCAAGGAAGAUGAGUCCAGGUCACUGAGUAGCCCACCCAAACCUCCUGAGGAUCAGGAGACGUCUAGUUCCCAGCCUACUCUCCUCCAGCAGCCUCAGAUCAUCCACAUGUCUUCUGUCAUCUCAGAACAGCCUGAAGCAGCAGCAGCAGCAGCAGGAGGAGAAAGAGAGACGCAUGAAGAUGACAAUGAGCGUCUAGAGGGCGCAUUGCUCCCCAGGGCUGAGAGUUGUUUUGCAUUUGAUUUUGAACAGUUGGCGCAGGAGGAGAGAAUCAACCACCUACGAGCUCGGCUGAGACAGAAGGAAGCCGCGCUCAGCAACUUUAACGCAAAGCCUGCGGAUCAGAUUUAG
ensembl:lncRNA